CUCCCAAUUUCUCAAAAUUGGUCUCAGCCAUUUCUCUCUCUCUUUCUCUUCAAAUCUCUCUGCGUCUGGACGUCCGCCGCCUCCGCAGCUCCGCCGCGAACGGCCCCGGCGAGGCCGUGUCCGGCCGAGGGUGCCGUCCUCGGCCACCCGCCCCUCUCAAAGAAUCGAUGCCUCCUUCUCUCAUCUCAUCACGGUUCGAUGCCGCCGCCUCUGGAAGACCAGCGAGCAGCGCCGUCGUCGCGUCGCCUCCGCGUUCGAUUUCUGGCGAGACCCCGUGCUUGGAGUUCCACGAACCGCGCUGUGCUUCAAAGGAGAUCAGCAAGGGCCGCCGUUGGUUUUGUACAUCCGGCGAAGUCGAUGCCCUUCGCCCGCCUUCUAAUUCUCUCACAGAAUGGCUCAAUUCCUCCUUUCAAAACGAGCCCUAGCUCUCCGCCGAUUCAGGCGAAAUCGCCGCGCCGCUGGGCUACGUCCGCCGCUGCUCUUGAAUCCAGCGAAGUCGAGGCGACCGUAGGCGCCGCUUCUGAAAUCCCGGGUCACCGCCCUGGUUCGACGCCGUUGCGUCUCCCUGGAGUCCGGCGGAGCAGGGCAGUCAACCCCCUCCUCUUCCGUGCGAUUAGCGUCGACGUCAAGCCGUCAUCUUUCCCCGUUUAAAUGAAACAGUAAGGGAGCUUAGUAUAUACCUGUGAAGUUUGGUGUUUGGAUGGCUGCUGUGAUUAUUGAAUUCAAUGGGGAAGGAACUGAAAUUUGCAAAUGUUGUUUCCUCAACAAAUGCAGAAAGAACCAAGUAUGAAAUGAAGAAACUUAGGCCAAGACUCACCUCUCGAUACUUGGCAGAUGGCAGCAGGAAUUAACUUCUCUUCAUCUCCCUUUCUGGUGGUUGGUGUAUGAGAGAAGGAAUGAAAUGUUAGGCUGGUGCUUUAAUAAGUGAGUUGUUGGCUAUAAAGUCAAAGGAUUGGAGAUGGUGGUUGGCUGAAUUUGAAGGGAGGAGCCGAUUGGUCUUCUCUCAUUUUUCUUCUUUUUAUUCUCACACGUUAUCUCCCGCAUGCUUGUAGGUAUGUAGCUGUAGUGUUUUGUGAUAGUGAUAGGUUUUGAUUGUAAGUAGGGAAUAGUGGUGAUGUAAAUAAUUCCCUACAGUCAUUGUGUAAAGUUGUAUCUGAAAAUCUAAUUUCUUUGUAUCAUCGCAUAUCUAUAAAAUUGGUUCUAGGUUUUGCUGAAUAACUA